UACAGAGGUCCCAAGCGUUGUUCGGAUUCACUGAGCGUAAAGGGUGCGUAGGUGGUGAGGUAAGUCGGAUGUGAAAGCUCGGAGCUCAACUCCGAAAUGGCAUUGGAAACUACCUUGCUCGAGGGUUGGAGGGGGACUGGAAUUCUCGGUGUAGCAGUGAAAUGCGUAGAUAUCGAGAGGAACACCAGUGGCGAAGGCGAGUCCCUGGACAACUCCUGACACUGAGGCACGAAAGCUAGGGGGAG
rnacentral:rRNA from 1 species